rnacentral:rRNA from 3 species
AAAGAGCCCAAAAGUAACGUCUAAGGAGUAAGACUUUAAAGUGAAAACUUAAAGAACAUGGCGGCUUAAACUAUUCAGGGGAACUUACUACAUAAAUGAUAACCCACAAGUCAAUUUACCUUCUCCAUAUAGCUUAUAUACCGCCGUCUAGUGCCUGAUUAAGUCGGGUCCGUUAAAGAGCGUCUUUCAAGUCAGGUUAUGGUGUAGCCAAUGAGAAGGAGAUACAGCGAGUUACAAUAAAAGCUUUUUCUCGGAUAUCUCUUUGUAUUUUGAGCUUAAAGAUGGACUUGAAAGUAAAAAGCAAUAGAAAUAAAUUUUGAAUUUCUAGGUUAAGUGC